AGUGGCGAACGGGUGAGUAACGCGUGGGUAACCUGCCCUAUGGAAAGGAAUAGCCUCGGGAAACUGGGAGUAAUGCCUUAUAAUAUAAAGAAGUCGCAUGGCUUUUUUAUUAAACGCUCCGGUGCCAUAGGAUGGACCCGCGUCCCAUUAGCUAGUUGGUGAGAUAACAGCCCACCAAGGCGACGAUGGGUAACCGGUCUGAGAGGGCGAACGGUCACACUGGAACUGAGACACGGUCCAGACUCCUACGGGAGGCAGCAGUGGGGAAUAUUGCGCAAUGGGGGAAACCCUGACGCGGCAAUACCGCGUGAGUGAAGAAGGUUUUCGGAUCGUAAAGCUCUGUUAUUGGGGAAGAAAAAAAGACGGUACCCAAGAAGAAAGUCCCGGCUAACUACGUGCCAGCAGCCGCGGUAAUACGUAGGGGACAAGCGUUGUCCGGAUUUACUGGGCGUAAAGGGCACGCAGGCGGUUUUUUAAGUCAGAUGUGAAAGGUACCGGCUCAACCGGUGACAUGCAUUUGAAACUGAAAGACUUGAGUAUUGGAGAGGCAAGUGGAAUUCCUAGUGUAGCGGUGAAAUGCGUAGAUAUUAGGAGGAACACCGGUGGCGAAGGCGGCUUGCUGGACAAAUACUGACGCUGAGGUGCGAAAGCGUGGGGAGCAAAC
rnacentral:rRNA from 1 species